CUCUCAUCUAAUUCUAUACCAAAUUUUUCUGAAUUUUUUUUUCUACUUGCAAUUAAUUUCACCUCUCCCCUAAAUAUACAAUCCCCCUAUUAUAAUGCAAUCAAUUCUGCAUUAAAUAACCCUCAUAAUUUUCUCUUCUCCUACGUAGUAUAUAAACCUUGUUAAGCUUUUUCUAUUUUCUCCACACUCCAAACAUCUCCUUUUUGGCUAUACAAAAAUUGAAUUUUCUAUUCUAUCAGGUAUUGUUUACAAAGUUGUUCGAAUUAGGAAACAAAGAGAAAAAGAAAAUGAACUACAGAAAGGAAAGUAGUCAUGAUCCAAAGCUUGAUUUGAAGUUGAAUUUAUCACCACCUAGGGAAAAUAAUAUUUUUCCAAUUUCACCAAGUAGAUCAUCAUCAUAUUCUUCUAUGGAAAGAUCACCACCAAGUUCUUGUAUUUCAAGAGAACCAACUCCAGAAAAUCAUCAACAAUUUUUUGCUAGUCCAGAGACAACAACAACUUCAAUGAUGCUAGUGGGCUGUCCAAGAUGUUUAAUGUAUGUUAUGUUAUCAGUUGAUGAUCCAAAAUGCCCAAAAUGUAAGAGUACUGUUUUGCUUGAUUUCUUCCGUGAGGAUCGAGUCAAGAAUUCAAAGAAUUGAUGAUCGUCAAGAAAAAAUUCGGUGAAUCUUAAUAGCUGAGUUGGUUGGUUGACUUCCCGAUCUUUCAACUUGUUGGUGAGUGUUCGAUUCCUCACGGCCGGUUUUAAAAAAAUAUUAUAACCCUUUACCAAGGUUAAUUAGGUUUUCGUAGCUACUAGUCUUUUAAUUUUCUUCAUAUAUGUGUAAUCCCUUUUGCCUUUUGGUUCUCUUACAAGAAAGAGGGAAGAAAGUUUUUUUGAGAGUUUGUUGAGGUUAUUGAAUGGAUGUGACGAAAAUCAUGAAUGUAACCAAUUUGGUUGUACAUCAUAUUAUGGUCAUCUUAUUAAUUCAUUCAUGUUA